rnacentral:rRNA from 1 species
GGUAAUUCCAGCUCCAAUAGCGUAUAUUAAAAUUGUUGCAGUUAAAAAGCUCGUAGUUGAAUUUUUGCUAGAAAUAACCGGUCUGCUUUUAUUAAUAAGAGUGGUACCUUGGUGUGUUUUUAGCAAUAAUGUCCUUUGAAAUGUGUUUUACUUUAUUGUAAAAGCAAUAUUCAGGAUUUUUACUUUGAGAAAAUUAGAGUGUUUCAAGCAAGCUA